rnacentral:rRNA from 1 species
AUGCCUUCUGCAGGCCCCUCGGGCGGCCUGUUGGUCGCCUGGGACGCUGCUGCUUUCUCAGGACAGAUCGUUGCAACCCACAGACACCAUUUCACCGUUAGGUUCUCAUCAACGUCGUCUGCGUCAGUUUUCGCGAUCACUACGGUGUAUGCUCCUUGCACCCACCAGGAGAGGCAGCUUUUCUUUGAUGAGUUGGACAGCGUUUCUGGCCUGCUGUUUGAACCAUGGGCUAUCCUCGGCGACUUCAACAUGUACCGGUUCGCCGAGGAAAAGUCCCGAGGUAGAGUCAACUGGGCUAUGAUGGACAAGUUUAAUGGUUGGAUCAGAUCUCAUGGGCUAGAUGAUGUCGACGUUUGCAACCGCAGAUACACCUGGUCGAACAAGCGAGCAGACCCGACCUUGGUUCGGUUGGAUCGCGUGCUCAUCAAUGCUGACUGGCUAUUGUCCUUCUCCCUGACGUCUGCCUCUGUCGUGCCUUCUGUCACCUCCGAUCAUGUGCCUAUCCUGGUUCAGUUUGGAAGCAUUCAGGCAAAAACAAGUUCUUCAGAAUGGAAAACCAAUGGCUGGUGA